AGCGAACGCUGGCGGCAGGCCUAACACAUGCAAGUCGAACGAACCUUUCGGGGUUAGUGGCGGACGGGUGAGUAACACGUGGGAACGUGCCUUUAGGUUCGGAAUAACUCAGGGAAACUUGUGCUAAUACCGAAUGUGCCCUUCGGGGGAAAGAUUAAUCGCCUUUAGAGCGGCCCGCGUCUGAUUAGCUAGUUGGUUGAGGUAAUGGCUCACCAAGGCGACGAUCAGUAGCUGGUCUGAGAGGAUGAUCAGCCACAUUGGGACUGAGACACGGCCCAAACUCCUACGGGAAGCAGCAGUGGGGAAUCUUGCGCAAUGGGCGAAAGCCUGACGCAGCCAUGCCGCGUGAAUGAUGAAGGUCUUAGGAUUGUAAAAUUCUUUCACCGGGGACGAUAAUGACGGGACCCGGAGAAGAAGCCCCGGCUAACUUCGUG
rnacentral:rRNA from 1 species